rnacentral:rRNA from 1 species
AUUGAACGCUGGCGGCAUGCUUUACACAUGCAAGUCGAACGGCCGCGCGGGCUUCUUCCUGGCGGCGCGUGGCGAACGGGUGAGUGAUUAAUCGGAACGUGACCUGUAGUUGGGGCUAGCCCGGCUAAAGCCGGACUAAUACCGCACACGACCUGAGGGUGAAAGCGGGGGACCGAUAGGCAUAGCGCUUUUUGCUCGCCCGAUGCCGCAUUAGCUAGUUGGUUUGGUAAAGGCUUACCAAGGCGACGAUCCGUAGCUGGCCUGAGAAGCCGACCUGCCACACUGGAACUGAGACACGGCCCAGACUCCUACGGGAGGCAGCAGUGGGGAAUUUUGGACAAUGGGGGCAAGCCUGACCGAGCAAUGCCGCGUGAGGGAAGAAGGUCUUCGGGUCGUAAACCGCUGUUAUUAGGGAAGAAAAACUCUGGACUAAUACACCGGGGGGAUGACGGUACCGGAAGAGUAAGCACCGGCUAACUACGUG